rnacentral:rRNA from 1 species
CACGUAGGGGGCGAGCGUUGUCCGGAUUUAUUGGGCGUAAAGAGCUCGUAGGCGGCUCGGUAAGUCAGGUGUGAAACCUCCAGGCUCAACCUGGAGACGCCACCUGAUACUGCCGUGGCUAGAGUCCGGUAGAGGAGCGUAGAAUUCCUGGUGUAGCGGUGAAAUGCGCAGAUAUCAGGAGGAAUACCAGCGGCGAAGGCGGCGCUCUGGGCCGGUACUGAGCUGAGGAGCGAAAGCGUGGGGAGCAAACGGG